GAUGAACGCUAGCGACAGGCCUAACACAUGCAAGUCGAGGGGCAGCACAUGAGUAGCAAUACGAUGGUGGCGACCGGCGCACGGGUGAGUAACACGUAUGCAACCUACCUGUAAGUGGGGCAUAACCCGGAGAAAUUCGGACUAAUACCGCAUAACACUGCCAUACCGCAUGGUAUAGCAGUUAAACAUUUAUGGUUUACAGAUGGGCAUGCGUAUGAUUAGAUAGUUGGUGAGGUAACGGCUCACCAAGUCAACGAUCAUUAGGGGUUCUGAGAGGAAGGUCCCCCACACUGGUACUGAGACACGGACCAGACUCCUACGGGAGGCAGCAGUGAGGAAUAUUGGUCAAUGGGCGAGAGCCUGAACCAGCCAAGUCGCGUGAAGGAAGAAGGUUCUAUGGGUUGUAAACUUCUUUUGUAAGGGAAUAAAAAGAGUUACGCGUACAGGACUGAAGGUACUCCGGGAAUAAGCAUCGGCUAACUCCGUGCCAGCCGCCGCGGUAACAC
rnacentral:rRNA from 1 species